ensembl:lncRNA
UGUGUUUCUCUUUGUCAGUGUCGUAGUCUCCUUCAUGCUGUGUGUGAUUCUCCCUGUGGUUCCUGGUAUACUUUAUGUUUAGCGUUCCCAGUUUAGUUUAGUACUGUUUUCGUGUUCCACUUUUUGCCAGCAUUAAAGCUGUGUUUUUGAGUUUACGUUUUGUCUCCGUGAGUUUGCGUUUGGGUCCUCUCCUGCCUGCCACACAGCCGAAUCAUGACAUCCUGCUGUGCUGAACCCCUUGAGUUGGCCUCCUGUAUCCAUUUUUUCAUGAUAGGAUCGGAUUGAAACACAAACAUGACAGUGUUAUCAGGAGCACAGACUGGGAUGAUGACUGUUUUCAGAUUAAAGCUGUUUCUCUCUAUUCAAGUGUAGAAUUUGGUAACAGUUUAAAAGUAAGUAUUAUUAAAAAGCUGUAGAUACAUAGCUGCUUCGGCACACCUCCAUUGUUUUUUUUUUUUAAAGGUAAAGGGUUAUUAAUAGGACAGAUUUAAUCUUGAGGUUUUAGUGCUUAAAUCUAACAAAAAGCUGAUAUAAGUAAAACUAAACUGUGUGAAACAGAAAAUGCACACAAAAGUAGUAGCCUUCAAAGUCUGUGUAACUGUUUCCAACAUAAAAGGUCCAGCUAGGUUUUUUAUCACGUAAUGUAUGAUCUUGGAAUAUCAGGCUGCAAAUGCAAAAAACAAUGUGCACUUUUCUGCGCAUUUUUCACAGAUACUGUAACACAAUUAAUUUUGUCAAUAAUGAGACUGUCUGCUUUACUAUCAGUAUCAAUAGUAGGCUUGGAGAAUAUUUUCACCACUGACUAUCAUGCUUACUUUAAUAAUCCUAAAUGCUCAACACAAAGUAGUUAUUAGCCUUUGGAGCCAAAGAUUAUUGAAAGAGAUGUGAGAUCUGUAAUUAUAAGGAUAGCUCACUGAAACCUUUGUUUUUUGUUUUUGUUUUUUUUAUUUUAAAAAUGAUGCAAAAAGUCAACGAGAUUAAAGUAUUAAAUAUUUAAUAACUUUAGAGCUUUGUUCAUCAGUAAUGCUGAUAGGAUGUGGAUGUGAAACAGACUCCAAAGACAUCAGUAACACAAUAAUUAUCAACAUCAUUCAACCAUCUCAAAGUUUAUGUUAGACGUGCAUUUCAGUAUAUCUAAAUAUUUCUGUAAAUUACCAAAUGCACAAUGAUACAAUCUUAAACAAAAAAGAAUAAUGUCACUGUCUCCAAAUUUAUCUCUACAUGUGCAUUUUGUUGUUUAUCUAAUAUUGACAUUGAAUAAAAAAGCAAGAACAUAAUUAUAAAAGCAUAGUUGAGCUGAUUAAAUGUUAUCUUGACUCUGAAGAUCUCUUUGAUAUUCGUGCUGAAGCUUAUUGUCAAUUUACUGUCCAGUAUUCAAAGCAUUUAUAGGUUGUUGUAAGUGAAAAAAGGCUUCCACUGUGUUGCGCAUGUGCCCAUAGAUCCAAAACUGAUGCUUAUUUUAAUCACUAUAAAAAGUAGUUUAGCAGUGCACAAAUCUACAAUACUCUAAGGUUUUACUGUGUGAUGUUUCAUGAGAUGUUAUGAUUUGGUGUCAUAUAAAGAAAUCUGAUCUGAUUUGUGUUUAAAUGUAUAAAGAAUGUGUGUUUGUUAUACUGCCAGUACUGCUUAGUAGUGAUGACACCAAAUAACACAAUGUGUUUGAUUAUUCUUUAAAAAUAAUAAUUCUAUAAGAGAAGCUGGAAUUUGGAUGUUUUAUCACUGCCCAGAGUACUGGUUGCACUGCAGUCAUGCAACAGUUUAAUCUGAUGAUUAAUUUCCACAAUUACAAAGACAAAAACUAGUCAAUUUCAAAUUAAAAGAAAGUCCCUCAUUACAAUCACAGUCUUUGUUCCAUCAGACCUUCAACAAAAUACAAAUGCAGAAAACACAUACAGUGCUUCUGUAAUUAAAUAUAGAGAGAAUCUAAGACUCUAAGACUGGAUGCAUUGAUGCCCUGUCGUAAUUUGGAACUCGAAGUACCGGUAAUGAAAAUCAAUAUUAAUGAGCUUUGAUGAUUAGUCUGAUGUGAAAUCACAUUAAAUGAAAAACCUUUAGGUAUCUUUCCAUCACCUUCUCCUCCAUGGACUUUCAGUGUUGCAGCCCACCUAAACUCAGCAAUCACUUAAAUUACCUUUAUGGGCCUUGGCAUACAAGCAAUCACCUCCUGUCGGUUUUGUGUGCCUACAUCGCUUUUUAGUCUUGACUUGGGCAUAUUGUGUCUGACACCUUCACUGCUGCUCUUUGCUCCACUUCGUCAUCUUCUUCCUCUGCAGAGUAACAAGAAGAUAAAAUAAAGCUCAGUAAGUCAUUAAUACAAUAGUGUGACUUGUGCAGAUUGACAGGAGUUAAAAAGAAACAGGAAAUGAUAAACAUUUUUUAAUGUCAUUUCAGAUUCUGAGCAAAAAUCACACACAAACUGAUUUAAAAUUGUCUUUUUUGUGAGUUCACAUGACUUCUUUAUCAACAUGAUCAGAAUCAACCUUUUGGGAUUUACUUAACUGAAUAACUGAGCAUGCAUCAAGACAUUCCUUAUCAAUAUUUAAGAAAGUAAAACGGUUGUUUGUUUGUUUGUUUUUUUAAAAAAGCAAGAGCAAAUUUUAUUCUUUAUAUAUUUAAAUGUAUUAUCAAUUUAUAAAAAGAGCAAUAAACAACCAGAGUGCAGUGAGCACAACGAAAGUUUUGUACCUUCUUGUCUUGCAGAUAUGUUGUUUUGUUUCUUCUUCUGAAAACAGAUGACUGCUAUACCCACAACUAAGAAAAUCACGAGUGCUGAGAGGACACGAACCAUCAAUAGCAAAAUUACUGCUGCAAAAAUAAAUGACAUAAAAACAAAUAAGUCAACAAAUGAAGAAAACAACAAAGAAAAUAAACAUCAGUGAAUCCACUUCAUAAAACUCCAUUUUUAUUUGCUAAAGUACCAGUCAUCAUUGCUGACAUUUUGAUUUCAUGAGAUCAGUUGGGUUAAGUUAACUGGUUAAUGUAAAUAUCCCAUAGGUAUGAGUGGAAAUGGUUGUCUGUCUCUCUGUGUUAGCCCUAAAUCAGUCUGGGGACCUGUCAAAGGUGUAGCCUGCCUCUUGCCCUAAGAUAGCUGAGAUUGACUCCAGCCCUCUCCACCACCCUGAUAAGCAGAAUGGAAUGGAUGGAUAUGAUAUUUGUGCCCUGUUGACUAAUGUGCAAACAAUAGAAAUGAGCAAACAAUCGAAAGAUUUAUGAAAACCUUACAGUGCCCAUAAUAAACACAAAUUGCUAUUUAGCUUUUAUUAAUAAUGUGUUCACUCACCACAGAUAGAUAUUUUCUCUUCUUUGAAGACAUUACUGACGUUGUUCCUGACUGAGCAGACCAGAUCUCCUGAGACGUGCUGUUUCAGAGUGAUGAUGUUUGUCUUAUUAUUUCCAGAAAGGAGCUCAGCAUCUGUCAGUGUGCGUCCAUCCAGAGUCCAGCUGUACUGAAGACUGUCCCCUCCCUCAGAGAAGCAGGACACCCUCCUCUCUCCCAGGGACAGACACUCAGAGACCAGCAGGACAGAGGACACAGGAGCUGAGACAAAUAGACACAGAUGACUAUUGAUUUUAAGAUGCGCGUUAUUAUUUAUAUUGUCCAAUGAAGAACAGGGAAAAUACAAAAUACAUGAAAUUUUGUGAAAUAUAUAAAUUACCAAAAAACUAUUAUGUGUGUGUUUAUAUAUAUAUAUAUAUAUAUAUAUAUAUAUAUAUAUGUGUGUGUGUGUGUGUGUGUGUGUGUGUGUAAUUGUUGUCAAUUUCCCAUAGAGGAUAGUUAUUAUUGUUAUUUUUUUAUUAUUAUUAAAGUAUUUUAACAUUUAAUAUUUACUAUUAAUGUUUACCUUGAAUACAAAAGGUUAAAAAAAUAUGUUUAGAUUUUACAUCAAAAUCUAAUUCGUUAUAGUCUCAAAUGAAAAAUAAAUUUCACAAUGUUAAAUUUCUAUCUAUAAAUUGUCAUCAUUUCCCAAUCGGAGAAAAAUUUACUCUCAUUAUUUACCUUUAAUAAACAACUGUAAAGUCUGCUCGCCUGUUGAUCUUCCAUCUGAAUCAAAGGUUUGAAGGGUAUAAUUACCACUGUCAUUCCUGCUCAGGUCACUGAGCCUAAAUGUCCCAUUAAAGGGGAGAAUGACUGAUCUAUCUUGUACUAUAUUAGAAAUAACCUUAUUAUUUCUGACAUCUAGUAUUUUUAAUGAAUUCUUUAACAGUUUGUAUCUUGUUAUUUUUGAGGUGCUGUCCAUCAGCUGGAUGUCCACAGUUCCUCCCAAAGCUCCAUAACACAGAGCUCCAUCCUGUCUGCCAUCACAACUGAACACAGUUAUGUUCCCCUUGGGAAGCACCUUCAAAAACUUCAUUUCACGGCCACUAGCAUUAGUCAUCACUUGGAUAUACACAGUUCCUUUAAGAAGAGGAGAGCAUGGACAUGUGUUCUUGGUAAGAUUACAUGUGGUCUCAUCAACUGGAAAGAAAGCUGGAAAAGAUGCAUUCAAAAGAUUGUGAGUUUAAAUUAUUCACACUCCAAAUGUACAUUUUUGGCAUCAUUUUGAGGACAAUCUUACCAUGAGUUCCUGCUACUACUAGCAAAAGGAUUAGAAACUGCUCCAUGAUCCUUAUUCAUCCACGCUUUGGUUUGAAUCUUGAAAAGUAAAUUUAAAAAAAUGCACUUUAAAAAUGAAAUGAAAUUAUGAGCAAAUCUGGCUAUAAAUCUGCUGGGACCUUUAGUUCACACUGAAACAGUAAAUGGGUGAUGAUGUAGACACAGUAUUUUUGUAAAAAGAAUAAAAUAAGCUAAACUGUCUUACUUCUCCUUCUCAUUUUCCUCUCCCUGUUUUAAUUGUACUUGCAAAACUGAGUCUAGACAACACUGUAUCUGUUGUGGCCAUUUUUGUUGAAUGUUUAUAAAAUGCAAUUUGUAUUCAUUUUUGUUUUUUCUUUAAAGGUGUAAGAAUAUACUGACCUGGUUUUGUUAUGUAAAUUUGUAAUAAAUUUUAUUGGAGAAGCUUUUGGAAAGCUUUUGGUUUAUUAGCUUAUGGACCCUCCCAUUAAUCAAGAGAUUAAGAGCACCCUGGAUGGGUGUGGUAAAGAGGUUUUUUGUUUGCCAAAUGUCAGAUGGGAAG